rnacentral:rRNA from 1 species
GGCGGACGGGUGAGUAACGCGUGGGUAACCUGCCUUAUACAGGGGGAUAACAGUCAGAAAUGGCUGCUAAUACCGCAUAAGCGCACAGAGCUGCAUGGCUCAGUGUGAAAAACUCCGGUGGUAUAAGAUGGACCCGCGUUGGAUUAGCUUGUUGGUGGGGUAACGGCCCACCAAGGCGACGAUCCAUAGCCGGCCUGAGAGGGUGAACGGCCACAUUGGGACUGAGACACGGCCCAGACUCCUACGGGAGGCAGCAGUGAGGAAUAUUGGUCAAUGGGCGCGAGCCUGAACCAGCCAAGUCGCGUGAGGGAUGAAGGUUCUAUGGAUCGUAAACCUCUUUUAUAAGGGAAUAAAGUGCGGGACGUGUCCCGUUUUGUAUGUACCUUAUGAAUAAGGAUCGGCUAACUCCGUGCCAGCAGCCGCGGUAAUACGGAGGAUCCGAGCGUUAUCCGGAUUUAUUGGGUUUAAAGGGUGCGUAGGCGGCCUUUUAAGUCAGCGGUGAAAGUCUGUGGCUCAACCAUAGAAUUGCCGUUGAAACUGGGGGGCUUGAGUAUGUUUGAGGCAGGCGGAAUGCGUGGUGUAGCGGUGAAAUGCAUAGAUAUCACGCAGAACCCCGAUUGCGAAGGCAGCCUGCCAAGCCAUUACUGACGCUGAUGCACGAAAGCGUGGGGAUCAAACAGGAUUAGAUACCCUGGUAGUCCACGCAGUAAACGAUGAUCACUAGCUGUUUUGCGAUACACUGUAAGCGGCACAGCGAAAGCGUUAAGUGAUCCACCUGGGGAGUACGCCGGCAACGGUGAAACUCAAAGGAAUUGACGGGGGCCCGCACAAGCGGAGGAACAUGUGGUUUAAUUCGAUGAUACGCGAGGAACCUUACCCGGGUUUGAACGCAUUCGGACCGAGGUGGAAACACCUUUUCUAGCAAUAGCCGUUUGCGAGGUGCUGCAUGGUUGUCGUCAGCUCGUGCCGUGAGGUGUCGGCUUAAGUGCCAUAACGAGCGCAACCCUUGCCACUAGUUACUAACAGGUAAAGCUGAGGACUCUGGUGGGACUGCCAGCGUAAGCUGCGAGGAAGGCGGGGAUGACGUCAAAUCAGCACGGCCCUUACAUCCGGGGCGACACACGUGUUACAAUGGCGUGGACAAAGGGAAGCCACCUGGCGACAGGGAGCGAAUCCCCAAACCACGUCUCAGUUCGGAUCGGAGUCUGCAACCCGACUCCGUGAAGCUGGAUUCGCUAGCAAUCGCGCAUCAGCCAUGGCGCGGUGAAUACGUUCCCGGGCCUUGCACACACCGCCCGUCAAG